rnacentral:misc_RNA from 1 species
GAUGAAGAACGCAGCGAAAUGCGAUACUUGGUGUGAAUUGCAGAAUCCCGUGAACCAUCGAGUCUUUGAACGCAAGUUGCGCCCGAAGCCAUUAGGCCGAGGGCACGCCUGCCUGGGCGUCACACGUCGUUGCCCCCCCAUCUCCUCCUUCGGGAUUGCGGGGGGCGGAUGAUGGCCUCUCGUGCGCCUCGUCGCGCGGUUGGCCUAAAUGCCAAGUCCUCGGCGACGCACGCCACGACAAUCGGUGGUUGCGAAACCUCGGUUGCCUGUCGUGUGCGGUCGUCGCGCAUCGAGGGCUCGAAAAAAUUGCCGGGCUUCGGCUCGACUUUCAACGCGACCCCAGGUCAGGCGGGGUUACCCGCUGAAUUUAAGCAUAUCAAUAAGCGGAGGA